rnacentral:rRNA from 1 species
CCUACGGGAGGCAGCAGUGGGGGAUAUUGCACAAUGGGGGAAACCCUGAUGCAGCGACGCCGCGUGGGUGAAGAAGUAUUUCGGUAUGUAAAGCCCUAUCAGCAGGGAAGAAAGAAGACGGUACCUGACUAAGAAGCCCCGGCUAACUACGUGCCAGCAGCCGCGGUAAUACGUAGGGGGCGAGCGUUAUCCGGAUUCACUGGGUGUAAAGGGAGCGUAGACGGCAGUGCAAGCCAGGAGUGAAAGCCCGGGGCCCAACCCCGGGACUGCUCUUGGGACUGUGCGGCUGGAGUGCGGGAGGGGCAGGCGGAAUUCCUGGUGUAGCGGUGAAAUGCGUAGAUAUCAGGAGGAACACCGGCGGCGAAGGCGGCCUGCUGGACCGCGACUGACGUUGAGGCUCGAAAGCGUGGGGAGCGAACAGGAUUAGAUACCCGUGUAGUC